GUAGGUAGGCGAGGUCUAAAUUAAGAAAAUUCAAUCCAUGAUUCGCGACAACGUAUUGGGACUUUCGUACCGCUAUGACAUUUACGAAGGUGGUUUUCCCACUGUACUGCAAGCCGACGAGGGUGAGCUCCAUUUCCUCUUUCCAAAAGAGGGACUUGAACCAGUCCAAAAUUCGAUUGAUAAGUGCCAACAUUUUUUCGACGUUUGGAGGAUAUCCAGCUCCGUCGGCAGAGAUACAAAUAACGUUCACUUAAAGUACGCCGCUCACUGGCUUUGACAUGUAGUCAUUUGCGUUCGAGUACGACGUCAGUCCGUCAGAUCCAAAGGUAUGCACCGCGCUAGUCAGUGACUGGCGCUGACUAAUCGCGCGGUACCCGGUGUUCCCGAUGUGUCGCUAGAUGCUGAUCCCAAAUUUCUUCUACGAUAAAACUGAUAUGUCGCACACGGAACGAGUUUUAUCACCGUUGUUACUGUACGCUCGCCAAGCGGUCUUGACAGUUCGGGCAUUGACGUGCAGCAGAAGACGUACCCAGAGAUUCUCAACUCGAGAUGCUAUCCUGUUUCGAGCACCGUUUCGUUUCCUUUAAUAAUUCAACGGCGAACUAAACAUUGGCGACCUCUGUUCACUUUUUCAGUCAGUACUCUAAUAUCUAGACUGCGGAUCUUUGUUAAGAAAAAAUUUUAAUAAUAUUUAACAUAAAUUCAAUACUCGCUAUUCAGUAAAUACAUUCAUCGAGAUAGCUCUUUUGCAUUUAAUUAAACCAGCCAGCUUUAAAUAACGCGGAUUUCUAUUAACAUCCCUAGUCUACUAAUAUGUAUAAUGUACGUUGCAAUAGCAUCUAGAAAAAAUACAUAUUUAUAUAAAUUAAUAUGCAAGAAAAUAUUCUGUGUAGAUUUAUACGAACGCAGAAAUACUUAUGGUGGACUACGACGUCGAUACCAUUGAAAUUUAUUUUGUGCGGUGAGUCGGUUGCAGUGGGUGACUUUCGACAAUUUCAGUUGCUGCGAGACUAUAUAUUGUACAUACAGUGGUUAUCAAUCCGGAUACCAUCGACGACGCAUCGUGCAUAUCGAAGCAUGGAAAUGAGCUUGCGACGAGAUCGAUUCAUUUUCUUUGCCAUCACUGAGAAAUAUUACAGAAUUAUUUAAUUAGCAAGACAAAAAUGUUAUACGAUCAUACCGAGUCGUAUAAUUCUCAUGAGUUUCAUCGUUCGAACAUUUUAUUAUUUUACACGUCAUCAACUUUUCCACGAUGGCAAUUUUUUUACAGUCACGAGGCAAAUGCAAUUAACUUGGUACAUUGUCUGAGGAGGAGAGAUACGAUGCAAUUAAAUUUCCGUUGCAUGUAUGAGACAAUUCUAUUCAUCUGAUCUAUCGCUCGAGAGAUAAGACAAUGGCCUAUGGCCCUUACACUGCAUCAUCCACCGCUGCCCACAUUUGAGUCUGUAAAUAAUCUCCCUUAAUUAAUUUAGAUCCAUUUCGAGAUUUGCACACCAUUAUCUCGUUUAAUGUAUCUUAUCGAACACACAGCUCCCCAGUUCCAUUGUGUUACGAUUGAUAAGCAAUAAUGGUAAAAAAUGGAUGUUAUGUUCCUAUUUAUACGAAUUUCUCCUUGAUACAAUGUAUAAUAUCUUAAUUUAUUAUACGCUUUAUUCAUGUGAAUCUUUGCGGACUAAAAUGAAAUAUUAUUAUAAUGAGAACGGACAACGAAGUGAUAGGUCAUUGUAAAUUAUCUACAGGGGAACUUAGAAAAGAAAACCGGAAAAUACGCAUAAUUCAACGUGAUAACUCGAAUCAUGUAUGAGCAUAGACGAGGUAUACUAUAGAUGUAACACGCAAUGUAAAAUUUUG